CUAAUACAUGCAAGCUAAAACAGUAAAUAAUAAAGCAAUACGAUAUGAGAGUAGCGUAAGGGUGCGUAACACGUAUGCAAUCUGCCCUGUACAGGAGGAUAGCUCGGCGAAAGCCGGAUUAAUACUCCGUAAUAUUGUGGAGUGGCAUCACACGAUUAUAAAAGUCGCAAGAUGGUACAGGAUGAGCAUGCGUCUGAUUAGCUAGUUGGUAGUGUAACGGACUACCAAGGCGAUGAUCAGUAGGGGAACUGAGAGGUUGAUCCCCCACACUGGCACUGAGAUACGGGCCAGACUCCUACGGGAGGCAGCAGUAGGGAAUAUUGGUCAAUGGAUGCAAGUCUGAACCAGCCAUGCCGCGUGCAGGAAGAAGGCCUUCUGGGUUGUAAACUGCUUUUGCCGGGGGAUAAAAUUCCCAUGCGUGGGACAUUGAAGGUACCCGGUGAAUAAGCCACGGCUAACUACGUGCCAGCAGCCGCGGUAAUACGUAGGUGGCAAGCGUUGUCCGGAUUUAUUGGGUUUAAAGGGUGCGUAGGCGGCCUAUUAAGUCAGUUCUGAAAUAUCCCGGCUUAACCGGGAGGGUGGGAUUGAUACUGAUGGGCUUGAGUGGAGUCGAGGUAGGCGGAAUUGACGGUGUAGCGGUGAAAUGCUUAGAUAUCGUCAAGAACACCGAUAGUGUAGACAGCUUACUAGACUUCAACUGACGCUGAGGCACGAAAGUGUGGGGAUCAAACAGGAUUAGAUACCCUGGUAGUCCACACUGUAAACGUUGAUUACUCGCUGUGUGCGAUAUACAGUACGCGGCUUAGCGAAAGCGAUAAGUAAUCCACCUGGGGAGUACGCCGGCAACGGUGAAACUCAAAGGAAUUGACGG
rnacentral:rRNA from 1 species